rnacentral:misc_RNA from 1 species
UAUGCCCAAGUGCUUCGCAUGCUUGGUAAUGGCCGUUGUGAAGCCAUGUGUAUUGAUGGCUCCAAGCGUCUAUGUCACAUUCGUGGGAAGAUGCACAAGAAGGUUUGGAUUGCAGCUGGUGAUAUCAUACUUGUUGGGCUGCGUGACUACCAGGAUGACAAGGCUGAUGUUAUCUUGAAGUAUAUGCCAGAUGAAGCUAGGCUUCUAAAGGCCUAUGGUGAACUUCCUGAGAGUACACGUCUCAAUGAGGGUAUUGCUGGAGGUCUUGAUGAGGAGGAUGAUGGUGCUGGUGAUGAUUAUAUUGAGUUUGAGGAUGAAGAUAUUGAUAAGAUCUAGA